GGAGAGAUGGCAGAGUGGCUGAAUGCGGCGCUCUCGAAAAGCGUUAACCCGCAAGGGUUCGGGGGUUCGAAUCCUCCUCUCUCCG
rnacentral:tRNA from 1 species